GUGCUCACUUUGGCAGCACAUAUAAUAAAAUUGGAAUGAUACAGAGAAGAUUAGCAUGGCCCCUGCACAAGGAUGACACAUAAAUUUAUGAAGUGUUCUAUAUUUAA
rnacentral:snRNA from 1 species